GAUGAACGCUGGCGGCGGGCCUAAUACAUGCAAGUCGAGCGAAGCGGGGACGGGGGAGUAAUACGUGGAUAACCUCCUCUAAGACUGGGAUUACUUCGGGAAACCGGAGCUAAACCGGAAACUGAAACAUGGAUCCACUCUGCAUUAGCUAGUUGGUAAGGUAACGGCUUACCAAGGCAACGAUGCAUAGCCGACCUGAGAGGAUGAUCGGCCACACUGGAACUGAGACACGGCCCAGACUCCUACGGGAGGCAGCAGUAGGGAAUCUUGCGCAAUGGGCGCAAGCCUGACGGAGCCACGCCGCGUGAGUGAUGAAGGUCUUCGGAGUGUAAAGCUCUGUUAUUAGGGAAGCGUUACCUGAUCAGAAAGCCCCGGCUAACUACGUGCCAGCAGCCGCGGUAAUAC
rnacentral:rRNA from 1 species